GGAGAGAUGGCCGAGUCGGCUGAAGGCGGUCGCCUGCUAAGCGAUUAUACGGUCUUAAAACCCGUAUCCAGGGUUCGAAUCCCUGUCUCUCCG
rnacentral:tRNA from 1 species